CCGCGCUAGAUGGGGAGCUGACGGUGCCCUGUAACCCGCAAUCCGUCCAGCGGGAUUGAACUCCUAUGCGAGGGUGAAUCAAGUGAGGAAAACGGAUGAAAGCGCCGAUGACGAUCAAGUCUCGCGCGGCAACAAUUCAUGAAUCGGGUCAGGUUCGGAAGAAAGCAGCCCUAAGUGAAAAUUGUUGCGCGCUGCGAGGCAGCUUGAUCUGAGUGAACUUUCUUCUGGAAUAUUCGGUUGAUUCUACUCGGACAUGGGCGCGCGG
rnacentral:SRP_RNA from 1 species